rnacentral:rRNA from 1 species
AUUGAACGCUGGCGGCAUGCCUUACACAUGCAAGUCGAACGGUAACGGGCCUUCGGGUGCCGACGAGUGGCGAACGGGUGAGUAAUGCAUCGGAACGUACCUUUCAGUGGGGGAUAACGUAGCGAAAGUUACGCUAAUACCGCAUAUUCUGUGAGCAGGAAAGCAGGGGAUCGCAAGACCUUGCGCUGAUUGAGCGGCCGAUGUCAGAUUAGCUAGUUGGUGAGGUAAAGGCUCACCAAGGCGACGAUCUGUAGCGGGUCUGAGAGGAUGAUCCGCCACACUGGAACUGAGACACGGUCCAGACUCCUACGGGAGGCAGCAGUGGGGAAUUUUGGACAAUGGGGGCAACCCUGAUCCAGCCAUGCCGCGUGAGUGAAGAAGGCCUUCGGGUUGUAAAGCUCUUUCGGUCGGGAAGAAAUCGCAUGGGUUAAUACCCUGUGCGGAUGACGGUACCGGCAUAAGAAGCACCGGCUAACUACGUGCCAGCAGCCGCCGCGGUAA